CUGGCGGCAUGGCUAAGACAUGCAAGUCGAGGGAGAAGCGCCUUCGGGCGUGGACACCGGCGAAAGGGCGAGUAAUGCAUGGGAACGUACCCCGAGGUACGGGAUAGCGUCGGGAAACCGGCGGUAAUACCGUAUGAGCUCCACGGAGGAAAGCUUCGGCGCCUUGGGAGCGGCCCAUGUGCUAUCAGGUAGUUGGUGGGGUAAAGGCCUACCAAGCCGAAGACGGCUAGCGGGUGUGAGAGCACGACCCGCCGCAUCGGGACUGAGACACUGCCCGGACUCCUACGGGAGGCUGCAGUAACGAAUCUUCCGCAAUGCGCGAAAGCGUGACGGAGCAAUGCCGCGUGUGGGAUGAAGCUGCUUCGCAGUGUAAACCACUGUCAGGACCUAGGAAGAACUGACCGGGUCCAGAGGAAGGGCCGGCUAAUCUCGUGCCAGCAGCCGCGGUAAGACGAGAGGCCCAAGCGUUAGACGGAAUCACUGGGCUUAAAGGGUGCGUAGGCGGGCACGCAAGCAUCACGUGAAAUCCCUCGGCUCAACCGGGGAACUGCGCGGUGAACUGCGUGUCUUGAAGCGUGUAGGGGCCGCCGGAACGUACGGUGGAGCGGUGAAAUGCAUAGAUAUCGUACGGAACGUCGAUGGCGAAGGCGGGCGGCUGGGCACGACUUGACGCUGAGGCACGAAAGCGUGGGGAGCAAACAGGAUUAGAUACCCUGGUAGUCCACGCCGUAAACGAUGUGCGCUAGGUCGAUGCGGGUUUGGCCCCGUGUCGUCCGCAGAGAAAUCAUUAAGCGCACCGCCUGGGGAGUACGGUCGCAAGGCUAAAACUCAAAGGAAUUGACGGGGGCUCACACAAGCGGUGGAGCAUGUUGCUUAAUUCGAAGCAACGCGAAGAACCUUACCUGGGCUUGACAUGCACGGAUUAGCUCUUGGAAACAUGAGUGACGCCCUCGGGUGGAACGUGCACAGGUGCUGCAUGGCUGUCGUCAGCUCGUGCUGUGAAGUGUCGGGUUAAGUCCUUUAACGAGCGCAACCCCUAUCGCUAGUUGCCAGCGCGUCAUGGCGGGGACUCUAGCGAGACUGCC
rnacentral:rRNA from 1 species